rnacentral:rRNA from 1 species
ACCUACGGGAGGCAGCAGUGGGGAAUAUUGCACAAUGGGGGAAACCCUGAUGCAGCGACGCCGCGUGGAGGAAGAAGGUCUUCGGAUUGUAAACUCCUGUCCUUGGGGACGAUAAUGACAGUACCCAAGGAGGAAGCACCGGCUAACUACGUGCCAGCAGCCGCGGUAAAACGUAGGGUGCGAGCGUUGUCCGGAAUUACUGGGUGUAAAGGGAGCGCAGGCGGAUUGACAAGUUGGGAGUGAAAACUACGGGCUCAACCCGUAACCUGCUUUCAAAACUGUCAGUCUUGAGUGGUGUAGAGGUA